GCCGAGAUAGCUCAGUUGGUAGAGCAACUCACUCGUAAUGAGUAGGUCGUCGGUUCGAGUCCGAUUCUCGGCUCCA
rnacentral:tRNA from 1 species